rnacentral:lncRNA from 1 species
GAAUGCUGACUAUUUGACAAACCAGAGAAAUGCACCUUUGACUGCAAGACUGUUAAAUUCCUGGCCCAGCUAUCUUCCCGGAAGGACUUCAAAUGGACCUUUACAAGUUAUCUACAAUGAUAGACUAAGAACAACCUACCAAGGGCUGAAUUGUAACCACAGGUGCUGCGACAAAGAACACUUUAAAGAUGCAUAAAAGUCUGUUUAAAGUGAAGAGAAAGAACUGGAUAAAAUAAUGAGGUGGCUAUCCAGUUUAUGGAAUUGAGGCAGGAAUUCAACAAAGGUAACCAGAAAACAUGAAACUGUAAACUUUAAAAAUUUUCUUUAAAAGAUAAUGUAUAUAGGUUGAGUUUCUUUUGUCACUUUUGUGAAGGUGAAACUUCCUAUUUUACCAUCUUGAUGUAACUAAACUCCCUAGGUACCUAAGGUCAGAAGCUCUCUGUCUCGAUGCUGUGUGGCAGAGGGGUCAGUCUCAAGUUCUGUCCUGUUUCUUGCCACUGUUCAUGCUUGACCCUGCGGUGGCUUUAAAUUGCCUCUGCUUCUUAUUCUCCCUAUAAAAGAACUAACUCCUAACUUUGAUACUUUGAUUCCAUUACUCCAAUAAAUUUCCCUGAAUUUGUUUUGCUUGGUUAUAC